ensembl:lncRNA
UGGCUUCUUUUUCCGGUGCAGCCCUUGGGCCAGCUGCAGGAAAGUCCCUCCCAGGCUCCACUUUAAGAACACGGGGCCCUGGGCCCCUAAGGACUCCCAGGCCCCAAGAGGGGUGGAGAAGCACCAGAUGGUUCCAGACCAGCCCUGGCACCAAGGCCACCAGGCACCUCUGGGCCAGGAACCCUUUUGCUCAAACCCCAAUGUUAGGUGGGUGUGACCUCCUGGAAACUCUAUAACCCCGUGUGGCAUUUCCAAAGGGGCUUCUCCUUGGGAGGUCUGGGGUCCCCUGCCCUCACUCCAAGAGGGCAUCCCUAGGGAGAGGACAUCCGACUGCCAAGGUUCCAAUCCCGGCCACACCACUGUGUAAACCGGAUCCUUCACUUCACCGCUUGGGGCCUCAGUUUCCCCAUCUGUGAAAUGGACAUAAUAAGACCUACCUUGUUGGAGCUGUUUUCUGCAGAGGGUACGUGACAUGCUUAGGACCACACCUGGCACACGAUAAACAUUAGCUGCCUUCAGCAGCAGCAUCUUCACCUUCAUCAGCCCUGGAUCUCCUACUAUGUGGCCCCUUCACUGACUCAUACACCCUCCAGAUCAGAGACCUCAAGGGUUUGUUAAAUCUCACCCUCUUUGCCCUCUUAGAAUUUUCUCUUGUACAUCCCAGAAUCAUGGCCCAGAAACAUGGCGCACGGAUGCCUAGUAAGAGUUUAGCAUCUGUCUUCUAUGGACCAGUGGCUUUUGCCUGCCAUGCCCGACAGCUCCUCCUAACUGGGCCCUUCUGCCCACACCCCAGGGAAGCAGCAUCCAUCAGUCCUGCCUUUGGCCCCUGCACACUGGGAGCCCAGAGCCAAAGCUUAGGGACUCAUCAGAAGGUAUUCACUGAGCAGCUCUCCUGCACAGACGUGGAGACAGUGGCACACACACACGCCAAGCCAGGCACCGCCCUCGCAGAGCCUAUGGUCUGAUGAAAGAGUGAGACUGCAGUUGAUAAUUACACCAGUAAAUGUAAAAUUGCCACUAAGGCAACUGCUAAAAACACGAGGUUGGUGGGGCCGUGAGAGGCCUUAAUGGGGGGGGGGGGUUCCAUCUAGUCACAGAGGGCUUCCCUGAGGUGAUGCUGAAGCUGAAAGAUAAAGGAUGAGGAGGCCUAAAGGAAGAGUGGAAUGCAGUCAGAGCAGAGGGGAGAACAUGAGGACAGCACCACGUUAGGCUAAACGUGGCAAAAACGGGGAUGUAAGAUGGUUUUCCCAUCGUGUCUAGAGGGUAACUGAAGGUUUUCUCUCUUUUCCCCUAAAUACAAUGGGAACCCCUGAAGAGUUUUCAGCCAGGGGCUGACAGACUCAGAUUUAUUUGUCUAAAAGGUCACCAUGGCUGCUCAGAGUGAGCCUUCCCAAGUCGGUGUGUAUGUACUUGCUCUGCCUGGAUCACUCCUCUAGUCUCUGUAUCAGUCAGCACACGCUAGGUUAUGCUGCAGUAACAAACAACCCCCAAAUCUCAGGGUUUUAAAACAAGAAAGGCUUAGUUAUCACUCAUGCUGGAUGUCCAUUAUGGGGCAGCAAGGGGCUCCACUCCAGUAUGAUGCAAGGACCCAGGCUAGCAGAAGCAGCCAUUCCACCUCCUGCCAGUUGCCAGGACACAGGAAAAGAGCACCCGGGAGGGUCUCCCACCAGCAACUAGAUGCUUUGGCCUUGAAAUGACAUAUGUCCCUGGAGUUCACAAUUCACCAGCCAGUCCCAUGGCCCCACCCAACACAAGGGGACCUAGAUUCAAUGCUACAUGUGCCUGGAUGAACUGGAAAUAUUUAAGGGGUAACAGUAAGGACCACCAGACCCUCUCCCACUCCAUCUUACCUUCCCCAACCUUAACCCAUUCAUUAGAUGACAACUGUUUGAGUAUUCCAGAAGGAGGGACCAGCACAUGCAAGAGAGGACACCAAGUGCAGAAUCUAGGGGAGGGUAGGAGAUGAGGCCAAAGAAAGAGCAGGGGCCGGAUCACUCAGACACUUCUAGGUCAUGGUCACAAUUUUAUUCUAAAAGCACCAGGAAGAUGGUUCAGUGUUUCAACCAGAAAAUGGGGGGGCCUGCUGUUGUCUUCUUUGGAACUGAUCACUCUGACUAUCAUCCCGAGACAGGGGUGGAGGGGAGGUCACUGGUAGAUCGGAGACUGGUGCUGUCGUCCUGGGGACACAUAGUGGUGGCUUGACUGAGAUGCUGGGGAAGAGAAGAUGGAGAAAAGUGCGCAGAUUCCAUUUAUAGGUUAAGUUUCCCUAGACCUGGAGAUAUGGUGGAUUGCAGUGCAGAAACGGAGACACCAAAGUUUCUGCCUUAAGGACAAGAAGGAUGGCGGGAGCUUUGGCCAAGAUGAGAGCCCUGGAGGAGGUUUAGGGAGGCAGAGGAUGGGACCGUCUUGGACCCUGUGUGUUGAUCAUAACUAUGAGAUAGUCAAGCAGGUAGGCCAAGGAGGCAGGUGAAUAAACAGGAAUGACUCCUGACUCCUGGUCCAGUGGCCUUUACUUCUUAUACACUCGCCAAUAACCUAGAAGCAUGGAAGCCCCCCCCCCACCCCCCAUUUAAGACCAGGUGAUGAAAGAGUCAGAUGAUAGAAGUCUUACUUGACACCAAGAAUGAAUUUAUGAAACACAUCAAAGGCUCUAGGGGACAGAACUGUAACUCCAGUCAGAAUCACAUAUAAGUGAUGGCUGAACGAGGGCUCCCGGGGACAAGUGAGGGGAGCCACUCAUCUUCGAGAAGGUCACUAGGGAAGGGAGCAUUGAGCCAGCCCCAGGUGCUCCUUGGAGGCCCCAUCAACUGGGGCUGAAUGGUCCUGGGUGAGGCUUGUCAGGUCAUUCUGAUGUGUUCAGGAGAGUAUAUUCUGCAAUAAUCCCAGGGAGAGAGAACACCACCUCUUAAAUCAUGCAUCAGACUCUGGGCUAGACAUUUUCUGUUUCUCAUUUCAUCUCACAACUGCCUGGCCAGGCAGGUUUUGCUGGCCCCACUGUAAGGAUGGAGAAGCAAGGUCCACAGAGGUCAAAGGUAACUGUGCCAAGUCCAAAGUCACAUAUUAAUGUGAAGAGGGGGAAGGACUCCAUAAAGAAACCGGCUUGGGAUCUAUUCCCAGAAGGGAAGGUUUACCGACACAGACACCUACCCACAAAGAACUCUGCCUGCCCACCUCUCAGAGAGUUGAUGGGUGAAAAUCACGCCCCACUCCCCCUGGAAGGAGACACAGCCUGUUACUUCUGCCCCGCGGACCUCACACAACCCCCUCCUUCCUCUCAAGGGGAAAUGUGGGCAACGGCCAGCUUGGGUGCCAUAAGCAUCACUCCCUAUGGAAAAUUCUUUUGCCCCAGCACAGACACAAUCCCCAAUUUUAGGGGUUUCCAGGCAUCCAGAGCAAUCUCAUUAUUGCCUCCUGUCCCCGCGGACAAAGAACUGGGUGUGUUCCCUUGCAACCACUCUAAAUUAUAUACCACAGCCUUUCUCCACAAAAAGCAAACGUCUAAGAAAGAAGAGAGGUUUAACAUUUUGCUCCCCGAAGUCCCAACCUAUCGCCAGGGUCCAAGCCCCUAUCGUCCAACAAGAUACAAGUCACCAGCAACUUUUCCACCAGCACCGCUCAGCGCUCAAGGCAUUGGUAUUCUCCUCGCAGCCACUAGCCUAGGGCGUGCUGGCCUUGACCGGAGAAAGGUCAUCGGUCGCUAAGUUCUUGCAGAGGAGAGUACCUUGGGGAUUGUGAGUGGGGCUGGAGGCUACACUCCGGAAAGAUUUCCUGAGGAGUCUAUACCGCAACUAAGAUGGAAAAUGUAUUAAAGAAACGGCCCCCGGCGAGGGUACGUUUAGUGGGAAAUCGGGAGCCCUGUUGGAAGAGGCCCCCCUGCACCCCGGCAGGACCUGAGCCCCGCCACCUUAGCCUCCAACCCGGGCACCAAGCCCACAGUGCCCCCAAGAACUAGGCCAGCGACGGCGGCGAGCCCUCCAGCAUUCGGCGCCCCGCCCCGCCCGUGUCACUGCGUUCUCAUUCCGAACACUCGGCCCGGGCGGCCGUUCUCAUUGGUCGGCGGCCACGUCCGUCAGCGGGCGGCACGUCGGCGCAGAGAAAAGGCUACAUUGUAACAAGGCGAGCAAGUGAGGAGCGAGCGGGGAGGAAGGAGGCGGAGGGGCGG